rnacentral:rRNA from 1 species
GGGCCCGCACAAGCGGCGGAGCAUGCGGAUUAAUUCGAUGCAACGCGAAGAACCUUACCAAGGCUUGACAUAUAGAGGAAAAGGUGCAGAAAUGCACUCCCCCGCAAGGUCUCUAUACAGGUGGUGCAUGGUUGUCGUCAGCUCGUGUCGUGAGAUGUUGGGUUAAGUCCCGCAACGAGCGCAACCCUCGUCCUAUGUUGCCAGCACGUAAUGGUGGGAACUCUAACAAGACUGCCGGUGCAAACCGUGAGGAAGGUGGGGACGACGUCAAAUCAUCACGGCCCUUACGUCCUGGGCCACACACGUGGCUACAAUGGUAGGUACAGAGGGAAGCCACCCCGCGAGGGGAGCGGA